GACGGACGCUGGCGGCGUGCUUAACACAUGCAAGUCGAGCGGUAAGGCCCUUCGGGGUACACGAGCGGCGAACGGGUGAGUAACACGUGGGUGACCUGCCCUCCACUUCGGGAUAAGCCUGGGAAACUGGGUCUAAUACCGAAUAGGACCGCAACAUUCAUGGGUUGUGGUGGAAAGAUUUUGCGGUGUGGGGUGGGCCCGCGGCCUAUCAGCUUGUUGGUGGGGUAAUGGCCUACCAAGGCGACGCCGGGUAGCCGGCCUGAGGAGGGUGACCGGCCACACUGGGACUGAGAUACGGCCCAGACUCCUACGGGAGGCAGCAGUGGGGAAUAUUGCACAAUGGGCGCAAGCCUGAUGCAGCGACGCCGCGUGGGGGAUGACGGCCUUCGGGUUGUAAACCUCUUUCAGUAGGGACGAAGCGCAAGUGACGGUACCUACAGAAGAAGCACCGGCCAACUACGUGCCAGCCGCCGCCGUAAGAC
rnacentral:rRNA from 1 species